rnacentral:lncRNA from 1 species
CCUGGGGCUAGGCCCACUUGGCCCUUGGUGGCCAGUGAAUGUUCACAAUGCAGAUCUUGUCUCCUGUGGUUCUGGUUUGUCCUGGGAGUGACACACCUCAAAGCCUGAGCACGCCAAACUCCCCAGCACCCGAGUGCUCUUGAGGUUCUGCAGAGGCCUAGGCCGUUGCUGUUGCACCUGUGGAUGCUCGCACACCUCACAGGUCGCAGGAACUGCUGCAGAUGGGCAAGCAGAAGGCCAGAUGAGCACGUGCUGUUGGCACUGAAUAGCAGAGUUUCCAAAGAUCUUUGAACAAAGUCUA